rnacentral:rRNA from 1 species
AUUGAACGCUGGCGGCAGGCCUAACACAUGCAAGUCGAACGAGUGGCGGACGGGUGAGUAAUGUCUGGGAAACUGCACGAUGGAGGGGGGUCACUACUGGAAACGGUAGAUAAUACCGCAUACCAUCGGAUGUGCCCAGAUGGGAUGAGCUCGUAGGUGGGGUAACGGCUCAGCUAGGAGACGAUCCCUAGCGGGGCUGAGAGGAUGACCAGCUACACUGGAACUGAGACACGGUCCAGACUCAUACGGGAGGCAGCAGUGGGGAAUAUUGCACAAUGGGCGCAAGCCUGAUGCAGCCAUGCCGCGUGUAUGAAGAAGGCCUUCGGGUUGUAAAGUACUUUCAGCGAGGAGGCGUUACUCGCAGAAGAAGCACCGGCUAACUCCGUGCCAGCCGCCGCGGUAAUUC